rnacentral:rRNA from 1 species
GUGAACGCUGGCGGUAGGCCUAACACAUGCAAGUCGAACGGCAGCACAGUAAGAGCUUGCUCUUACGGGUGGCGAGUGGCGGACGGGUGAGGAAUACAUCGGAAUCUACUUUUUCGUGGGGGAUAACGUAGGGAAACUUACGCUAAUACCGCAUACGACCUACGGGUGAAAGCAGGGGGUCUUCGGACCUUGCGCGAUUGAAUGAGCCGAUGUCGGAUUAGCUAGUUGGCGGGGUAAAGGCCCACCAAGGCGACGAUCCGUAGCUGGUCUGAGAGGAUGAUCAGCCACACUGGAACUGAGACACGGUCCAGACUCCUACGGGAGGCAGCAGUGGGGAAUAAUGGACAAUGGGCGCAAGCCUGAUCCAGCCAUACCGCGUGGGUGAAGAAGGCCUUCGGGUUGUAAAGCCCUUUUGUUGGGAAAGAAAAGCAGCAGGUUAAUACCCCGCUGUUCUGACGGUACCCAAAGAAUAAGCACCGGCUAACUUCGUG